GACUAACGCUGGCGGCGUGCUUAACACAUGCAAGUCGAACGGAAAGGCCCUGCUUUUGUGGGGUGCUCGAGUGGCGAACGGGUUAGUAACACGUUAUUCACCUGCCCUUGACUUUGGGAUAACUUCAGUAAACUGGGGCUAAUACCGGAUAGGAGCUCCUGCUGCAUGGUUGGGGUUGUAAAGUUUCGGCGGUUGGGGAUGGACUCGCGGCUUAUCAGCUUGUUGGUGGGGUAGUGGCUUACCAAGGCUUUGACGGGUAGCCGGCCUGAGAGGGUGACCGGCCACAUAGGGACUGAGAUACGGCCCAGACUCCUACGGGAGGCAGCAGGGGGGAAUAUUGCACAAUGGGCGGAAGCCUGAUGCAGCAACGCAGCGUGCGGGAUGACGGACUUCGGGUUGUAAACCGAUUUCGCCUGUGACGAAGCGUGAGUGACGGUAAUGGGUAAAGAAGCACCGGCUAACUACGUG
rnacentral:rRNA from 1 species